CCCGCACAAGCGGUGGAGCAUGUGGUUAAUUCGAAGCAACGCGAAGAACCUUACCAGGCCUUGACAUGCAGAGAACUUUCCAGAGAUGGAUUGGUGCCUUCGGGAGCUCUGACACAGGUGCUGCAUGGCUGUCGUCAGCUCGUGUCGUGAGAUGUUGGGUUAAGUCCCGUAACGAGCGCAACCCUUGUCCUUAAUUGCCAUCAUUCAGUUGGGCACUUUAAUGAGACUGCCGGUGACAAACCGGAGGAAGGUGGGGAUGACGUCAAGUCCUCAUGGCCCUUAUGGGUAGGGCUUCACACGUAAUACAAUGGUCGGUACAGAGGGUUGCCAACCCGCGAGGGGGAGCCAAUCCCAGAAAACCGAUCGUAGUCCGGAUUGUAGUCUGCAACUCGACUGCAUGAAGUCGGAAUCGCUAGUAAUCGCGGAUCAGCAUGUCGCGGUGAAUACGUUCCCGGGCCUU
rnacentral:rRNA from 1 species